AGUAAUACAUAAGUAACCUGCCCUAGACAGGGGGAUAACUAUUGGAAACGAUAGCUAAGACCGCAUAGUUACGGACACUGCAUGGUGACCGUAUUAAAAGUGCCUCAAAGCACUGGUAGAGGAUGGACUUAUGGCGCAUUAGCUGGUUGGCGGGGUAACGGCCCACCAAGGCGACGAUGCGUAGCCGACCUGAGAGGGUGACCGGCCACACUGGGACUGAGACACGGCCCAG
rnacentral:rRNA from 1 species